AUGCAGAUGAAGCUUGGGUGUUUGGGUAGCAUAUGGGGCCGUGCAGGGUUUGAUGUGAGGAAGAGAAACAAACAUGUAAGCAAGUUUGAUGGUGAAGUGACUUCAUGCAGAUUUGUUUGUUCCAAUGAGGGUCUUCGGAAAAAAGAGAUAACAUUGGGCCAUGUGCCAAAGCGUAUUAGAGCUGAAACAAGAACAGAUUGCAAAGCCCGGAUGACUAUAGCAUUGGAUCGAGUGGCAAAAAAUUAUGAAGUCACAGAUAUUGUGCUAGAACACAAUCAUUACCUUCAAUUGCCACAAACUUGUCACUUGAUGGCAUCACAAAGGAAGAUUUCCGAAGUACAAGAUUUUGAAAUAGAAGCCGCUGAUGAUUCUGGAAUCAUGCCAAAACCUGCACAUGAGCUUGCUUGUCGUCAAGUUGGUGGACCACUUAACCUCGGCUACACUUAUGUUGACCAAAAGAAUCAUUUGCGAAGCAAGCGGCAGAGAGAGUUAGCUUUUGGACAGGCUGGUAGUAUGUUGAAGUACUUCCAUGAAAAAAUCGUUGAGAAUCCAUCUUUCUAA
rnacentral:rRNA from 1 species